ACGGCAGCACGGGUGCUUGCACCUGGUGGCGAGUGGCGAACGGGUGAGUAAUGUAUCGGAACGUAUCCGGAAGUGGGGGAUAGCCCGGCGAAAGCCGGAUUAAUACCGCAUAUGCCCUGAGGGGGAAAGUGGGGGACCGCAAGGCCUCAUGCUUUCGGAGUGGCCGAUAUCGGAUUAGCUAGUAGGUUAGGUAAAGGCUGACCUAGGCGACGAUCCGUAGCGGGUCUGAGAGGAUGAUCCGCCACACUGGGACUGAGACACGGCCCAGACUCCUACGGGAGGCAGCAGUGGGGAAUUUUGGACAAUGGGGGCAACCCUGAUCCAGCCAUGCCGCGUGAGUGAAGAAGGCCUUCGGGUUGUAAAGCUCUUUCGGACGGAAAGAAAUUGCCAUCUCUAACAUAGGUGGUGGAUGACGGUACCGUAAGAAGAAGCACCGGCUAACUACGUGCCAGCAGCCGCGGUAAUACGUAGGGUGCGAGCGUUAAUCGGAAUUACUGGGCGUAAAGCGUGCGCAGGCGGUUUUGUGAGACAGGCGUGAAAUCCCCGGGCUUAACCUGGGAACUGCGCUUGUGACUGCAAGGCUAGAGUGCGGCAGAGGGGGGG
rnacentral:rRNA from 1 species